rnacentral:rRNA from 1 species
AAGUCGUAACAAGGUUUCCGUAGGUGAACCUGCGGAAGGAUCAUUAACAAAUUACAACGUUUGUUGCAACCCACUCUGCGUAUCAUUACCUGUUGCUUCCCCCGGCGGCUUGCUGCUGCUGGGGGAAGGGAACCGCGAACUCUGUUUUCCUUGAAAUCGGUCUGAAAUCUAGUUUAUCGUUAAACGUUAAAAACUUUCAACAACGGAUCUCUUGGUUCUCCCAUCGAUGAAGAACGCAGCGAAAUGCGAUAAGUAGUGUGAAUUGCAGAAUUCAGUGAAUCAUCGAAUCUUUGAACGCACAUUGCGCCCCCUGGCAUUCCGGGGGGCAUGCCUGUUCGAGCGUCAUCAAAACCAUUCGGGACGCGGGUGCAAACCCUCGGCUCGGUCUUGGGCAUGAGGGAUCAAAACCCUCGGCCUGCAAUCCAGCGGCAGACUCCCUGCGUAGCAGUAGCGUGAUAGAAUCGUCAAUCGCUAACGCGCGACGGCGACGUCUGGCCAUAACCCCCAAAUCUG